UUUUUGUCUCCCGGUGUUCAUUUAUUCUGUAUUUGCCAAUUAAAUUAUACAUGUUGCUUCAGAGAGCUAGGAAGCUGCCAUGUGUUCAGCUGUGUCCUUAAGAAAAUGAAAUCUUUCUAAGUAAUUUUUACCACUUCAACAUUAAUGAAAAGACAUCAAUCUGAAGACUUGGUGUCUGUCCCUGUGUAUAUCAUAUUUGCUAUCUGAAUAGACCCAAAUGUUUCCAAUACAGCAUCAGAAACAUGUGUGUGUGUGUGUGUGUGUCCGUCUAUCUGCAUGAGCCAUGAUGUUGACUCACAUUAACUAACACUGGAAGACGCACUUCCAAAAAUGAUGCAGUAAGAAUGUUUGCACUUUCUUUGCAAAACACACAGGCGUUUUGCAAAGUAGGAAUCUAAAGUAGGAAUGUAUAUAGCAUCUCAGUACUACCUUGGUCUUAGCCAAGGAGACACUUUUACCCUCAGUAUCAUGGCUCUGAACUAAAAUUACCAUUCGGAUUUUCCCACAGAAUAAUUUUUUAUUUUUGACAAACUUAGGGUUUCAAAUUUUUUAAAACUGACAAUCAGUAACUGUGACAACAAUCUGAUAUUUCGAGGACAGUUUCCAUAUGCAAAGGCUUCGAUUGUACCUCACUUGGCACCAUUCCUUUGUUAUUUCCUUAUCAAAAAUAAAUAAACUUGCUGCUUGCACUGAAAGAA
rnacentral:lncRNA from 1 species